rnacentral:lncRNA from 10 species
CCUCAGCCUCCCGGGUAGCUGGGACUACAAGCGCCCGCUACCAAGCCCGGCUAAUUUUUUGUAUUUUUUUUAGUAGAGACGGGGUUUCACCGUGUUAGCCAGGAUGUUCUCGAUCUCCUGACCUCGUGAUCCGCCCGCCUCGGCCUCCCAAAGUGCUGGGAUUACAGGCGUGAGCCACCGCGCCCGGCCAACACCUGUUUUCUUACAGAGGACCCGAAACAGGAUAUUGAAUUUCAAAAGACAAAAUGAAGCUAAGGUGCCACAACAAAAGCUUCAGAAGGUCCCAUUUGAGCUCUCCCUCAUCUUCAAUCCCCCUGUGGAGGAUGCUACAGGAGCAGUAGAAGCAACAGAAGGUGUUGAAUCCUUCUUCUACCAGCUAUUGAAAGACAGAAAGAGAGAAUGUGGCCAAAGACCACCAAAGAACAUGCUCUUCCAUGAGACCAGAUUCAAGCACAUGGCACAGGAAAUAAAGGACAUGAUGGAACACAUCUCACUGGGCCUGGUGAGACUGGCAGAGGCAGGGGCUCAACAACCUGUUCUUCAAGCUGUCUCAGUAAUAGGCUUCCUGCUUCCUACUUCUUGUCUUUUUGGAGAUCCCUUUGAUCCUAAUUAUUCCUCAGCCUCAUCUUCUGGCCUUUUAUAAAAUGUGUGAGCCCUUUAAUAUGCUUUAAAUAAAUUGACUUGUACUUGUCAACCAUGUUAGUUUUGUUGCUGCCAUUGUUCACAAAGAAAUAUCCAACUGAUAUAUUAAAAAGCAAGAAUAACUGGCACUCUAACAUAGAAAAAUCCAGUCAUGAGAAUGGAAAAACAGGAAAUAAUAAAUAUAUAAAGAAUAUUAAGAGGCUAUGAUCACCUGAAAACUUGAGAUAAUUAAGAAACAAAAGGCAUACCAGAUCCAAAACUUAUUAAUUAAACAAUGCCAAUUAAAAUAUUUGUGAUUGACAUACUAACAAAUGAGUUAAUCAAUGAGUUAAUCAACAGGCAGAUAAAUGAAACAGACUAGCAGUACAGAAACACAAUACAAUACAUUUGGGAAUUUGAUGGCAUCACAUUUCACAUUAGAUAAAAAAAUAGAUUAUUCUGUAAACAGGGUAUAAAAUUAUUUCUCUAAGAAUUAAAUCAGAUAAAUAAAUACAUGACUCUAUAGACAGAUAUACAUCUGAGGUGAAUUAAAAUUUAAAAUAUAACAAAAAUAUAAAACUCUAAUGUUAUUACUUUUUUACUUAUAGCACAAAUCUGUUCUACAGAGUGACAAUGUAAACAUAGUUAAAUGACAAACCACAGAAAUUUAGAUGUUUAUAAAAUAAACAAGUAAAAUGUUUAAAUAACAAUUGCAAUAUAUAAAAAUUUAUUCAUAAAUAAUAAAAAUAAGCUAAAUUUAUAAACAGACGUUUCUAAGUAGAAGACACAAGAAUAUGCAAAUGUGUUUGGCUGUGCUAUUAUUUAUGGAAACACAACAGUGGAUUACUGUCUUGUGGUGCCAAGUGUGACAAUAGCAAUUGAUGGUAAUGCUGUAGUUUAACUUUAUGUCUUACACACUGCUGGUAUGAGUAUAAACAAUUACAACUAUAUUGAAGAACAAUUUUACGGUACCCAGAAAAUUGAAGAUAGACCUACCCUGUGGCAUAGGAUAUAUAGGAAUAUAUAUCCAGGGGGAACAUCUUGUUCAAAAGUGCAUAAAAUGUUUAUUGCCACUUAUAAAGAGUGUUUAUGGCAGUGUUGUUUAAAAUAGUGCAAAAUUGAUAAUAUAAAAGUCCAUCCAGGAGGGUAUAGAUAAAUAACACCAUCAUCAGUGGAAUAAUAAUAAUAAUAAUAAUAAUAAUAGCAUUUAGUCCAAUUAAACAAUUGCAUUUCUAAAAAAUUGCAUUGUUUACUUGUAUUAAGUUAUUUCAUUGUUAUAAAUCCCUGAAAAGAAAGCAGGUAUUAUUAAUCCCAUUCUGAAGAUAAGAAAACUGAUACAGAAUUUAAUUAUGCAAAUUUUUUAAGAGCACAAAACUAGUAAAAAACAGAGCCAUGAUUCAAGUUAUUCUCAAUAUGCUACAAACCUGUACAGCUUGUUUCUUUACUAAAUACUGUAGACAAUUGUAACACAAUGGUAAUAUUUGUGUAUCUAAGCAUGUCUAAACAUAGGAAAGGUACAGUGAAAAUAUGGUAUAGUCUUAUGGGACUACUGUCAUUUGUGCAGUCCAUCACUGGCUGAAAUUUUGUUAUACAGUACAUGACUGUUUAUUUGAAGCUAAUCAACCCUGAAUAUCAUGAAAAGAGAGAGCUGAUACUACAGAAUGGAGGCAGGGAAGAAUAUAUGCAGAAUUAAAAGGUGUCCAUCAGUGUGUGUUUGUGCUCCCAUACUUAGUAAGAUGAAAAAUUGUAGCAAUCAUGGCCGGAUAAAAACAAGAUGACCAGAGCUCAGAAUCCCAUUGCAUAAAGUUCUGGGUAGCUCUACUUGGCAAACAAUCUAAAGCAGACAUAUUGUCUCCCUUUUUAAACCAUUUAUUUUUAUUUCUUAAUUAUUAAUUAUAACAACCUAUUAGUAUGUAAAAUGAAUUAGCCCUAUAUCUGUUAUAUGUAUGGUAAAUUACUUUUCCCAAAGUAUGUGUGAUUAAUAUUUGUCUGAUGUUCCAAGCUACCUCAUGUGUUCUUGUUCUUUACAUCCCUUGGAGGGAAGCUCUACUGUAUUGUCACCUUGGUGCAUCUGUAACUUAAAUAAUAAACCUCACAGAUCCACAUCCCAGUUUUCUGGAUUCCUAGUACAAUGGAGAUAUUGAGAAGUACACUUUCAAUACAUCCUAUGAUUUUCCAAAACUUUCAACAUUUACUUAACCAGCUGAAGAAGUUUCUCUAAGAUUGGUUGUAUUAGUCUAUUUUCACACUGCUAUAAGGAAAUUCCCAAGACUGGGUAAUUUACGAAGGGAGAGGUUUAAUUGACUCACAGUUUCACAUGGCUGGGGAGGCCUCAGGAAACUUACAAUCAUGGAGAAAGGUGAAGGGGAAGCAAGAGCCUUCUUCACAUGGUAGCAGGAGAAAAGGAGUGUAUGUAGGAGGAAAUGUCAAACACUUAGAAAACCAUCAGCUCUCAUGAGAACUCACUCACUAUCACGAGAACAGCAGGGGGUAAACUGCCUCCAUCAUACAAUCACCACCCUCCAGGUUCUACCCUUGACACGUGGGGAUUAUGGGGAUUACAAUUCAAGAUGAGAUGUGGGCGGAACACAGAGCCAAGCCAUAUAAUUGGUCUACCCCUUAUAACAGAGUGCUUCAAGCUUUCUUAGGGAAGAGCCAGAAUUAAGAGGGAAACCUUGUCUUACUUCAGUAUCAGAGGUGAUUGUUAUAUUAAUAAAAGCUGUUUGUGUGUUGGUGAUAUACUAGCCCUGUAUUGAUGUAUUUAUUCCACAUUGUCGUGAUAAUUUUGAAAGAUAUCAGGUAGCCAUUGACAAAAUAAGAGAGAUUUGGAGAUUAUUAAAUAGUUUCCAUAUUAUAAGAAUAACUCAAAUUUCCUUGUUAUAAUGCAUAUGAGUCUUGGAUGAAAUACUUAGCAUUUUGAAUAGUUUUAUUGAUAUAUAAUUUACUUACCAUAAAACACACUUAUUGUUCUACACAAUUCAAUGAUUUUUGAGUAUAUUUACAGCAUGUAUCAUAACAGUCUAAUUUUAAAAUAUUUUCAUUGUCCUAGAAAUAAAUGACAUGCCCAUUUGUAGUCCCUCUUCAUGCUCACUACCAGCCGUAGGCCACCAAAAAUCUUUUUUCUUUAUAGAUUUUCCUUUCCUGGACAUUUUGUCUAAAUAAAAUCUUACAAAAUGCACAAUAUUAUGGUUUUUUGUGUCUG